rnacentral:rRNA from 1 species
GACGAACGCUGGCGGCGUGCUUAACACAUGCAAGUCGAGCGAUGAGAUCCCUUCGGGGAUGGAUUAGCGGCGAACGGGUGAGGAACACGUGAAGAAUCUGCCUUCAACUCUGGGAUAACACCGGGAAACCGGUGCUAAUACCGGAUAUGAGCCUUGAUCGCAUGAUCGGGGCUGGAAAGUUUUUCGGUUGAAGAUGACUUCGCGGCCUAUCAGCUAGUUGGUGAGGUAAUGGCUCACCAAGGCGACGACGGGUAGCCGGCCUGAGAGGGCGACCGGCCACACUGGGACUGAGACACGGCCCAGACUCCUACGGGAGGCAGCAGUGGGGAAUAUUGGGCAAUGGACGAAAGUCUGACCCAGCGACGCCGCGUGAGGGAUGAAGGCCUUCGGGUUGUAAACCUCUUUCAGCAGGGAAGAAGCGAAAGUGACGGUACCUGCAGAAGAAGCACCGGCUAACUAUGUGCCAGCAGCCGCGGUAAUACAUAGGGUGCAAGCGUUGUCCGGAAUUAUUGGGCGUAAAGAGCUCGUAGGUGGUUAGUUACGUCGGAUGUGAAAAUCUAGGGCUCAACCCUAGACCUGCAUCCGAUACGGGCUAGCUUGAGUUUGGUAGGGGAGACUGGAAUUCCUGGUGUAGCGGUGGAAUGCGCAGAUAUCAGGAGGAACACCAAUGGCGAAGGCAGGUCUCUGGGCCAAUACUGACACUGAGGAGCGAAAGUGUGGGGAGCGAACAGGAUUAGAUACCCUGGUAGUCCACACAGUAAACGAUGGGCACUAGUUGUGGGAACCUUCCACGGUUUCUGCGACGCAGCUAACGCAUUAAGUGCCCCGCCUGGGGAGUACGAUCGCAAGAUUA